UACGAAGGGAGCUAGCGUUGUUCGGAAUCACUGGGCGUAAAGCGCACGUAGGCGGGUUUGUCAGUCAGGGUGAAAUCCCGGAGCUCAACUCCGGAACUGCCCUUGAUACAGCAAGCCUUGAGUCCGGAAGAGGUAGGUGGAAUUCCUAGUGUAGAGGUGAAAUUCGUAGAUAUUAGGAAGAACACCAGUGGCGAAGGCGGCCUACUGGUCCGGCACUGACGCUGAGGUGCGAAAGCGUGGGGAG
rnacentral:rRNA from 1 species